rnacentral:rRNA from 1 species
AGAACGAACGCUGGCGGCAGGCCUCAAACAUGCAAGUCUAGGGGGUGCAGCAAUGCAUCACCGGCGGACGGGUGCGUAACACGUGGGAAUAUACCUUUCGGUACGGAACAACGCAGGGAAACUUGCGCUAAUACCGUAUACGUCCUUACGGAGAAAGAUUUAUCGCCGAAGGAUUAGCCCGCGUAGGAUUAGCUAGUUGGUGAGGUAAUGGCUCACCAAGGCUCCGAUCCUUAGCUGUUCUGAGAGGAAGAUCAGCCACACUGGGACUGAGACACGGCCCAGACUCCUACGGGAGGCAGCAGUUGGGAAUCUUGGACAAUGGGGGAAACCCUGAUCCAGCCAUGCCGCGUGAGUGAUGAAGGCCUUCGGGUUGUAAAACUCUGUCGGAGGGGAAGAACACAAUGACGGUACCUCCAACGAAAGCCCCGGCUAACUACGUGCCAGCAGCCGC